rnacentral:rRNA from 1 species
GAUGAACGCUGGCGGCGUGCCUAAUACAUGCAAGUCGAGCGAACGGACGAGGAGCUUGUUUUUCUGACGUUAGCGGCGGACGGGUGAGUAACACGUGGAUAACCUACCUAUAAUACUGGUAUCUUUUCGGGAAACCGGAGCUAAUACCAGAUAAUAUUUUGCACCGUAUGGUUCAAUAGUGAAAGACGGUGUUGCUGUCACUUAUAGCUGGAUCCGGGCUUCAUUAGCUAGUUGGGAAGUUAACGGCUUUCCAGGGCAACGAUGCAUAUACGACCUGGGAGAGUGAUCGCCGACACGGGAAGUGAGACACGGUCCAUGCUCCUACGGGAGGCAGCAGUAGGGAAUCUUCCGCAAUGGGCGAAAGCCUGACGGAGCAACGCGGCGUGAGUGAUGAAAAUCUUCGGAUCGUAAAGCUCUGUUAUUAGGGAAAAACAUAUGUGUAAGUAGCUGUGCACAUCUUGACGGUACCUAAUCAGAAAGCCACGGCUAACUACGUG